rnacentral:tRNA from 33 species
AGCCCGCUAUCGGAGUCGAACCGAUGACCAUCGCAUUACAAGUGCGGUGCUCUGACCUCU